rnacentral:lncRNA from 1 species
UAUAUGUUCUCAUGUGCCCACCUCUCCCACUAGACUGUGAGCUGUGCAGCCAUACAGGGACCACAUUGUCUUCUUAUCCCAGGCCCCAUCCCCAGUGCCUAGCUUGGUGGCUGACACAUAGUAAGCACUCAAAAACUAUUUGCAUAAAUGAAUAAACAAAUGAGCCUCAUCUCAGGAAACAAAGCAGGGGCUUGGAAGAUGGUGGCCCUGCAGACCCGCCCUGUGACUCCCCUGCCUCCGCUCUUCUGGUCUCAACGAGCCUCCUGCUCAACCGGUGAGACUUGCGCUUUGAUUUACUCCCUGGUGACAUCAUAGCCAUCACCAUGGCAACGCCCAGCGAUGCCUGUCUGCCAGACAAAGUCGCUUCCAUCAGGAAAGGGCAAAUGGACACCCAGGGUGGGAAGGAGUCAUUUAUGAGGUGCAGCGUCAGCCCUCACAGCCUUGCAUGGGCAACCAGUGCCUGAUGGGGCUGCGGCUGGUGCCACAGCAUCUGUGUCCCUGUGGAGGGCAGCCAGGACUGACUUCCCUGCUGUGGGAGAGAGCUCUUUAUCUUUGAGACAGGCCAGCCAGCCGGAAGCCAGUGUGUAGGUGGAGGCCAAGUAUAGCACAGGCACGUCUGUCUGGCCCACCUGCAUCAUCUGCCCAUAGCCCCUCAAACACCUGCGUAAAGCUCUGGCUUCCCGGCUGCACAUCACUCUUUCCUUCCUGGUUUCUUACCUUCCCUCCUGCCCCCCGUCCUCCCCACUCCCCCCAUUUUCUUUUUCUUUCUUUUUUUCUCGGGGAGGGGGUUGCAAAAUCUACUCAGAACCUGCUGUGUGUCAGGCUCUGUCUCAGACAGGAGUGUUCGCCAGUGUUCGAAGGGGUCUCUGCCUCGUAGACAAGGAGUGGAGCUCCCAUGCCUGCCCUUUUGGAGAUCUGUGGCAUCUGCCCCAGCCCUUACCGGAGGUGGAGAAAAGAAGGACUUUCUGGACCUGCUUUCAGGCUGUCGACCUGCGACAAGUCCCUGGGCCCUUCCAGAAAUCAGAUUUGCUGACUGUUCUCUAUGUUGUCACUGAUACCUUUGGUGGGAAGAGAACAAUACUGGCCUGUGUGCUGUGCUGCUUUUUAUCUGUGUAGUUCCAGAACAUAGUAAGGCAUGGCACACAGUAGGCACUAACAAAUGCUUCUUGGAGUGGAUAGAUGGAUGGAUGAAUGGAUGGAUGGAUGGAUAUAUGAAGUCCUGUGAGCCUAAAUGAAGAUUGCCUCCUUUCUGCCAGAGAAUUCCAGGAGCGUGUGAAGCUGGGCUGGGGGAGCAGUGGGGCUCAGGCUCUGGGAAAAACUAUGAAGACCACAAAAGUAAUUCAGCCCCUAAUGACCUUGAGACCCAGGCAAACCAUUCCUUGUACAUACACAAGGUAUAUUUCAUAGAGGAAGGGACUGUGGGCUUGGGGCCAGC